UACGGGGGGGGCAAGCGUUGUUCGGAAUUACUGGGCGUAAAGGGCUCGUAGGUGGCCAACUAAGUCAGACGUGAAAUCCCUCGGCUUAACCGGGGAACUGCGUCUGAUACUGGAUGGCUUGAGUUCGGGAGAGGGAUGCGGAAUUCCAGGUGUAGCGGUGGAAAUGCGUAGAUAUCGUAAGGAAGACCAGUGGCGAAGGCGGGUCUCUGGGACAGUUCCUGACGCUGAGG
rnacentral:rRNA from 1 species